ACACACGUCACCUGGGAAUCCUGUUAAAAUGUAGAUUCUGAUUCAGUAAGUCUGGAAAGGGUCCUGAGAUUCUGAAUUUCUAGCAAGUUUCCAGGUGAUUCUGUU
rnacentral:pre_miRNA from 1 species